AAAAGCUGCUGAUGUUGGUGCCGAUAUUAUCGACAAGGCUGAGAGGAACAUCCAGGACGAUGAUCCUAGAAUUGAGCAGUGAUAGCUUACAGUGUUGGUGAAAUUGCUGGUUUGGGAUACUAUCUAAUCGGCCUUUACGCAGAAUCAACCUGUGCUGCUCAUGUUUUUGGCUCCAUCUCCUCAUUUGGGAUCAAUCAUAACUACAAUGUUUUAUCCUUUGCUCAUUAGUUGUAUAGGUAUUUCUCUUUGUUUGCCCGACACAUCAGGGCGUGUUAAGUAUUUGUUUGCGUGAGCAGGGCCCGCCCAUCAUAAGUAUUUGUGUAUGUGUCUAUUUUAUUGAGAAUUUUUGUCCCAGUGAGAUGCUAUUUCUACCA